CAGUUGCUCCUGUUCCUUCUUCCGAAGCUUUUCCCUUUGCUUUUCCAUUUUCUCUUGGGCUUUGCGAGCUUUCUCCAGGGAUGCUUUCAUUUCCUUUAGCUUCUUCUUAACGAUUGCCCUGUCCUGGGAAGAUGUCAUACCAAGAGCCUUAAGCUUACUCCCAUCCAGUUGAAGGAGAUGCUCCCCAUUAAUGUUUUGGGCGCUGAAUUCAGAAACGUACUGUUCGAGGUUCAGGCUCAUUAACCAGUGGGAAACCUGCUGCACACUCCACUCCUGAACAGCCCGGUUCUGGCACUGACUGUGCUUUGGAGACUGUCCAUCAUCGAGGAUCUGUGACAGAAAUGUGCCGCCUUAUUACUGGAAGGGUAACACUGAACAGCAGUAGCAUUUUUCUGCACAAACCACCAGCAUCAGAGCAGAGGUACCCCUACUGCCCUUAUACUUCUGUAACAACAAAUUAACACCUGCAUCUAACCAGGUAUCUAAGAACUGAUGCAAGGUACCUAAGAAGUUUCUAUUUAUAAUCAGGAGAAAGGAACUGGCAUUCCUUUUCAUCCACACGGGUUGAAAUGGCCAGGUGGCACAGGUCUAAGCAAGUACAGCUCCCACUCCCUCACAAGAUCUUUAUCCUUCAAGUUACAAGGUUUCUAAUGGAUACCAUUAGAAUUAUGCUAUCCACUUCCCAGGCACAUUCAUUGAUCUUUAUUGCGUAUUUAAGCUGCAAAACAAGAAAUUUAGGCGAAAAAAAAGCCUCAUAAAAACCAUUCUGAAGUUCAAAGUGGUGACACCAAACAGCCAGCGAGACUGAUGUUACCUACAGAAGACUAUGAGAUGACACAGGAACAGAAAGGAACACACAGCAAUCCCACAGCCUCCACCCUGCUCUCCACACAUCGUGCUGCCCAGGAGAAGAGCACAAACAGCACCAGGAGGGGCAGGUGGGCCUUCAGCUGCUUCAGCCCCGAGUGUCCUCUCUGCCACUUCCUUCCACCCAAGGGAAAGCUGGUGGGGCCUGAAACAAAAGCCACUCUGUGGAAACCCCAGCCAGCACAGCAGCUGCUACAGGCUGCUGCAGCUGUCGCCUGUUUGAACAGCUUUACCACUGGGUUAGAUGAUGUUGGGAGCUCUUUCAGCCUCUGGCCAUCCAUUUCUCAUGGAUGGGGAAAAGACAGUUUAAGCACAGUCUUUUCGUUCUCCAGCAGCCAGCAGAAUCUCAGUGCAGCUGAUGCUUGGCUUGGUGGGUGUGCUCUGGCACGGGCCCUCCUCCCCCUUCCAACAUACCACAAAAGCUGCAAUUUGCCAUGGCCUUGAAAGGAGAGGGGAGCUGAAGACAAGGCAGGAGGAGCCAGUGACAUCUGUGUGUUGUGCUCGAACAAGGGGAUUUGCCACACAACACAGUGAAACAAGAAGUGCAAAUUUGCAAAUGAGACAGUACAUUGCCACGCGAUGGUCACGCAAUUCACCACAACAGCACACUGGUAUCUCACCUCAUCAUCAAUCAUAUCCAGGCUCUGAGUGAGGGAGCAACAAAGAAAUGGGAAAGAAAAGCAUUAUAGAAACAAAAUACAGAACAUGUAACAGCAUGUAAAAGUUCGGGCAAGGGUAGCACCGAGAUUCGCAAACAGAUAAGGCUACUCAAAAAACAGAGAUUUCUUUGAAAAAAAUUACUUCCAGAAGAAGAAAGGUUAUGUUGAAAGCUCAGCACACACACGAUUUGGUAGCUAAGCCAGAGAUUGUGCCAGUGAAGCCCUGUGAGCUCCUGGUCAUGACACACUGGAACCAGUGGGACUUUGUGUGACGGCUCCAAUUGCAAGAGCAAAAACUACUUAGAGGACAACAGACCACAGGACCUGGGUUCCCUCCCUACCCUUUCCUUUCAUUCUCCUUCAAGUAAUUACAUGAGGUCUGCCCAAGAGCCAUGAGCAAGAGAGCGCUCGCAGCAAUGCACUACAGCAGGUCCAAGAACGGCAGCCUCACCAUGGCAGGGCACAACUUGGUACAAUGCAGAGUACAGAGAAAACCUAUUCAUUUUUAUAGACCUGUCCAAACAUGGAAUUUUAGAAGAGUCCAAGUAGAAACAAGCCAAAUGAAAGCAUUUUCCAACUUCUGGUUCUGUGGGAACCAGGGCACUGUUAGUUCCAGUGGGAACAGGGCACUGUCACACUAAAAUAUUUGAUAAAAUGGGAAGGAAAAUGAUAGAAGAAUGAAAAGUAUUAUCAAGGCAGUAUUAAUACUAAAUAAAGUAUGAAUGAUCUCUUUAUCGUUUUCAGUAAUUCACAGUAUAUGCAGUCUCCUAUCUACUACUCUCCUAUGACUCUUCUAAAUGUUUACCCUUUCUAAUCUGCAGUAAGUAACUGCUAAAGAACGACUGGCCUUGUAGACUUCCAUUUUGGCGAAGGGGGUUGGCACAGAAUGACUCUCAUUCUUUAAACCUGUGCAAAACAUGACAGCAGUAAUAACACAAGCCUGUCAUUGGAAAAAAGAAAAGGAAGCCAAAGAUUCUUGAAGUUCCUCCUCUCUAAAAAAAAACCCUGGCUCAAACCUCAAGUGAAAAAAUACAAAGUUCUUACUCAGCAUUUGUAAGAGGACAAAUGCAUAGGUUUCCUGAGUCCACAGGAUGUACAGUAGUAAGCUGUCUGACUGUGCAGCUUCACUGACAAUUGAGCCAAACAAGUAUCUUAGAAAUGUGUUUUCAAUAUAUUAUAUUCCGCUCAAUUCUGUCACUAAUUUAUGGGGUUGGGAAUGCUUUUUCACAUUAUCACAGGUCAAAAGCCAUCUAGUUUGAAGAAUCAAACUCAAAAUCCACUGUGUAUGUGCAAAGCAAGCACAAAGAAUGCAAACUGGAUUGACACAUACACACUCUAAUCACUGUAUACACACUGAGGUACAGAAUACACAAUAAUUGCAUGUACAGGUCAUUAUUAUUUUAAUAUGUCAUGGUAAAAAUAGUCUAGGUGCAGGUGCUUUACGUUUCAACCAUGUUUAUCCAAUUACACUGCGUCUUUAUCGUCUCAAAACUGUCUCAAUUACCUCUAUUUUAGUGUAUGUAUACAUAGGUCCACACAUACACAUACAGAACGCAGGAACAGCAUAUUGAAAUGUGUGAGGAUAGAGUAGUUCUUUAGAAAGCAGCUGCAUUUAACAAUACUGCAUAACGAUCCUACAAUAAUACCAUAGGCCAGUUGUUUAAAAUAGUUAUUAUAUGAACAAGAAAAAUUAAAAUAUUGAAGCCAAGAUUAAUUCAUCUUCUUCUCCCUUUAUACUGCCUAAAACCAUCCCUUCGUUGCUUGAGUAAUUAUCAAGACAAAUGCUGCGGGAGAAAGAAGACAAUCAAUUCCCACCUUAAACAAUUCCAGCAACAUACCUCAUCUGACGAUAGUGCUAAGGAGUGUGAGAAACCUGGGGUUUUGGGUUCUGCUCCUAAACCACUCAGAUCAGCUGAACUUGUGCUGCUGGGACUGAAGUCAUCGUUGAACGUGAAAUUCUGUAGGGAAAAAAGAUAAUUUGGAAUAAACAAAUGAUCUCAAAUGUGCAUCUCAAAGGGAAAUUGCUUUUCUGUCUUCCAGGUUGGCACAGUUCAGGAGUGAUUUCAAUUGCUUACCAAACCAGUUAAAAUACACACGAGGAAGCUUAAUCUUUUGCAUUGCUAAUGAUUAAUAGAACAUGCUAUAUGCUUUACCACUGUGUACCUCAAGAGACUGCUCUGCCAGCUUAAUGCCUCAAGGACGAGAAAAUCUGAACACUUGGGGCCCCCACGGCAUCCUCAGGCCAGGAGUUCAACAGCUCCACCUCCUGCUCUGUGAAGAACACCUUUUUCCUCUCAACUAUUCUGACUUCUCUUUUACCUCUCUUUUGUAUAAGUUUCACAUUUAUGAUUAAUUUUAGCCCUUUUCAUUGCCCAUUGGAAACACACAAGAUAGCCGAGGCCUGCUAAUAAUACUAAUAAUGGGAGAGCAGGACAAAGGAACACAGAACAAAACAACUUUCACAGCUUAACAGUAAUUGUAAGAAGGGAUACUUUCUCCCAUUUCAAAAUUAUUUUCACUCAGUAUUUGUUUAACAGCACAAACAGGAUUGACACAUCUAACCCUCAUCUUUCUUAUAAAAGGAAACUGAGUAGUUGAUUGGCUGAUUGGCUGAUUCAAAUUCCUGUAUAUAAAGCUGAGAACUAUAUCUGUUUCUUCUUACCAGACCAAUGCAGAAAGUAAACUGUUACAAGUUAUAGAAGGAUAAAGGCAGAGAAAUACUUUCCAGCAGUGAAAAUACACAAGAAAAAGCAAGUACAGUACUAUAACUAAGGGUUACAUAAGGAGUUAUCAUGCUGAAACAUUCAUGCACAUAGAAAGGAGUCACACAGCUGUAUUAAACUGCAGUAGUUCCUAUUUAUAGUUUGAGCAUCUUCAUAUAUAGAAUUAAAUCCAACAUCCAUGCAUGCAUGACAAGCAGAUUUCAGUACUGGGGGAGAAAAAGGCAAAUGACUGACGGCAUACAACAUUUCUUCACUUGCAAACAUCUCAUCUGAAUACAUUAAGAACAGGUCGGUAUUCCUGCAAUCAGUCCUGAAGAAUGCAGAACGUAUCUAUAACUGAAUACACAAAUCUAGCAUUUGUUCAGUGGAUCCAAAUGCUAACUUCCACUGGCACCACUUGUGUUUGUUACAGUACAGCACACCACGGUUAGUUUACUGAGUUAAUGUACAUUAAGAAUAGGAAGGUAGAAUGUGGAAUGGUACAACGAUGGAGAUGCUCUGUUCAGAUGAGCUUUUACCGUACAAUGAACACCAUGCACUGUUUAUUGUAGUGGUAACAUAUUGGCCCGUUCUUCUUCCAGAAACACGAAGCCAAUUAUGCCACUCAACACAGCGGGAAUAAGGUAGUUCUUAUUUUCUACCUUUGACCCUUUUUUAGCUGGGCUUAUGUUUUCAGAGGAAGGUUCUGUUGAGCUGGUAGGUGACGGCAGGUUGCUAGAAGAAUUGGAUCCCUUGCCACCCUCUCCAUACCAUGUGAGUGGUACACAGUGUGGGAGAGAGGAGGACCGUUCUGUUAAAGAUUUACUGUUGGCUGAUUUCUGCAGCAUCUCUCUGGUGGUCCUGCAGAAGAGAAAGGAGCAGGGAUUUGUGUUAGAGAAUAAAAUAUGAAAAAAUGCUACAGAGGUAGCUAAUUGUAAAAAAAUGACAUUCCGUGUAACUGUGACUAAUCAGCACAGUGGCAUGCAGCUGGUGACAGCAUUCUUGAAAUCUCUCUUCUAACAAAAGAAGGAAAAAGCGUGUUCUUUUGAUUUCUUUUCUAACUCUAGCUCUCUGAGAUAACACGCAUGCAGCAAAUGGAGACAGAUGCCUGCACAAAGUGCCUGUGUCCCUGUGUUUUGGUGUGAACCAGCUCCAGUCAAGAAGCCACACGCGGUGCUGGUACCACUGGGCCUUGCUAUCUCAGCGUGAUCAGACUCAGCACUGACCCAGGCAGGCUCUGCUUCCCUGACAGGUCUGGCUUGGAUUUCGAGCGCAGGCAGAAGGAACUGGGUGCGUAUGCACACACCUACAUAGAUGUGCCUUUGUUACAACAGCUAAAUACUGAGAGACAUCUUGGUGUUCUUUUCUGUUUGUUUGUUUGUUUGUUUUGAAUUAAAUAUUGAAAAUACAACUAUAGAAAAAAAAAUGAAAUAAACAUUUGACGUUAUCAGCUAGCCUUUUCAUAGUAGCAGUAUAUAAAUCUUCCCUCAGCUUCUAAAUCAUUAUGAACAUAAUCACUAGCUCUGUGUAUUGGGAAGCUUCUUUUCUGUAUGGAUGAAAUGGAGGCUGCCAGAGAGCCCCCAGACAGCAAGGCAGAACCAGAAUCCUCUCUCCCUUUGGCUACUUAAAUGUAGAUGUGUCUGAUACAGUCCUGUGCUCCCUCCUCGUGCUCCAAUACUGCUUGAAAGAAGACAGAAGGAAUGACGUUGUCCAAAUCACCUACUGCUCCAGGCUAGGGAAUAUAAGCGUAUGUGCCUUCUACUUAAAUGGAGGGAAUCUGUCUAUAUAUUUAACAUCAGUGGUAGCCUUCAGAAAUAAUUCAGGAUUUUCUUCUACACAUCUUCAGUUGUUUUUUGGUAUUUUUUUU
rnacentral:lncRNA from 1 species